CCGUGCGGGUUGGUUAAAGACACUUUUAGUUGGGGAGUGAAAAGACUCAGGGUUAACACCUCUGGGUCUUGACCUAACCCACAGAAAAAGCACCGGCUAACUCUGUGC
rnacentral:rRNA from 1 species